rnacentral:rRNA from 1 species
CCCUUAGAUGUUCUGGGCCGCACGCGUGCUACACUGAGUGGAUCAGCGGGUCAGGUUGCGCGAAAGCGUUUCCUAAUCUUGAAAUCCGCUCGUGAUGGGGAUUGACGGUUGCAAUUUUCCGUCAUGAACGAGGAAUACCUUGUAAGCGCGGGUCAUCAUCCCGCGCUGAAUACGUCCCUGCCCUUUGUACACACCGCCCGUCGCUCCUACCGAUUGAGUGGUCCGGUGAGGCUUUGGGAUCUGAGCGGAAAGAGCGUUUCGCUCGUUCUGCCCGGAAAACUCAGUCGAACCUUAUCAUUUAGAGGAAGGAGAAGUCGUAACA